GACGAACGCUGGCGGCGUGCUUUACACAUGCAAGUCGAACGAAGAGGCGAACGGGUGAGAAAUACGUGGGUAACCUGCCCUCCUUUCUGGGAUAAGCCUUGGAAACGGGGUCUAAUUCCGAAUAAAGGGGGAUGGGCUCGCGGACUAUCAGCUUGUUGGGGGGGUGAUGCCCUACCAAGGCGGUGACGGGAAGCCGGCCGGAGAGGGUGACCGGCGACAUUGGGACGGAGAUGCGGCCCAGACGCCUACGGGGGGGAGCAGUGGGGGAUAUGGCAGAAUGGGCGAAAGCCUGAUGCAGCGACGCCGCGGGGGGGAUGAAGGCUUUCGGGUUGUAAACCUCUUUCGGUAACGAACGGGGAGGUGGAGAAGAAGCGCCGGCUAACUACGUGCCAGCAGCCGCGGUAAUAC
rnacentral:rRNA from 1 species